rnacentral:rRNA from 1 species
CCUACGGGAGGCAGCAGUAGGGAAUCUUCCACAAUGGGCGAAAGCCUGAUGGAGCAACGCCGCGUGGGUGAAGAAGGUCUUCGGAUCGUAAAACCCUGUUGUUAGAGAAGAAAGUGCGUGAGAGUAACUGUUCACGUUUCGACGGUAUCUAACCAUAAAGCCACGGCUAACUACGUGCCCGCAGCCGCGGUAAUACGUAGGUGGCAAGGGUUAUCCGGAUUUAUUGGGCGUAAAGGGAACGCAGGCGGUCGUUUAAGUCUGAUGUGAAAGCCUUCGGCUUAACCGGAGGAGGGCAUUGGAAACUGGGAGACUUGAGUGCAGAAGAGGAGAGUGGAACUCCAUGUGUAGCGGUGAAAUGCGUAGAUAUAUGGAAGAACACCAGUGGCGAAAGCGGCUCUCUGGUCUGUAACUGACGCUGAGGUUCGAAAGCGUGGGUAGCAAACAGGAUUAGAUACCCCUGGUAGUC